GACGAACGCUGGCGGCGUGCUUAACACAUGCAAGUCGAACGGAAAGGCCCUGCUUUUGUGGGGUGCUCGAGUGGCGAACGGGUGAGUAACACGUGAGUAACCUGCCCUUGACUUUGGGAUAACUUCAGGAAACUGGGGCUAAUACCGGAUAGGAUCUCCUGCUGCAUGGUGGGGGUUGGAAAGUUUCGGCGGUUGGGGAUGGACUCGCGGCUUAUCAGCUUGUUGGUGGGGUAGUGGCUUACCAAGGCCUUGACGGGUAGCCGGCCUGAGAGGGUGACCGGCCACAUUGGGACUGAGAUACGGCCCAGACUCCUACGGGAGGCAGCAGUGGGGAAUAUUGCACAAUGGGCGGAAGCCUGAUGCAGCAACGCCGCGUGCGGGAUGACGGCCUUCGGGUUGUAAACCGCUUUCGCCUGUGACGAAGCGUGAGUGACGGUAAUGGGUAAAGAAGCACCGGCUAACUACGUG
rnacentral:rRNA from 1 species